CCUACGGGGGGCUGCAGUGGGGAAUAUUGGACAAUGGGCGAAAGCCUGAUCCAGCCAUGCUGCGUGUGUGAAGAAGGCCUUCGGGUUGUAAAGCACUUUCAGUGGGGAAGAAAGCCUUGGGGCUAAUACCCUCGAGGAAGGACAUCACCCACAGAAGAAGCACCGGCUAACUCCGUGCCAGCAGCCGCGGUAAUACGGAGGGUGCGAGCGUUAAUCGGAAUUACUGGGCGUAAAGCGCGCGUAGGCGGUCUGAUAAGCCGGUUGUGAAAGCCCCGGGCUCAACCUGGGAACGGCAUCCGGAACUGUCAGGCUAGAGUGCAGGAGAGGAAGGUAGAAUUCCCGGUGUAGCGGUGAAAUGCGUAGAGAUCGGGAGGAAUACCAGUGGCGAAGGCGGCCUUCUGGACUGACACUGACGCUGAGGUGCGAAAGCGUGGGUAGCAAACAGGAUUAGAUCCCCUGUAGUC
rnacentral:rRNA from 1 species